rnacentral:rRNA from 1 species
UUAAUUUGAGAGUUUGAUCCUGGCUCAGGACGAACGCUGGCGGCGUGCCUAAUACAUGCAAGUCGAACGAACUCUGGCAUUGAUUGGUGCUUGCAUCAUGAUUUACAUUUGAGUGAGUGGCGAACUGGUGAGUAACACGUGGGAAACCUGCCCAGAAGCGGGGGAUAACACCUGGAAACAGAUGCUAAUACCGCAUAACAACUUGGACCGCAUGGUCCGAGUUUGAAAGAUGGCUUCGGCUAUCACUUUUGGAUGGUCCCGCGGCGUAUUAGCUAGAUGGUGAGGUAACGGCUCACCAUGGCAAUGAUACGUAGCCGACCUGAGAGGGUAAUCGGCCACAUUGGGACUGAGACACGGCCCAAACUCCUACGGGAGGCAGCAGUAGGGAAUCUUCCACAAUGGACGAAAGUCUGAUGGAGCAACGCCGCGUGAGUGAAGAAGGGUUUCGGCUCGUAAAACUCUGUUGUUAAAGAAGAACAUAUCUGAGAGUAACUGUUCAGGUAUUGACGGUAUUUAACCAGAAAGCCACGGCUAACUACGUGCCAGCAGCCGCGGUAAUACGUAGGUGGCAAGCGUUGUCCGGAUUUAUUGGGCGUAAAGCGAGCGCAGGCGGUUUUUUAAGUCUGAUGUGAAAGCCUUCGGCUCAACCGAAGAAGUGCAUCGGAAACUGGGAAACUUGAGUGCAGAAGAGGACAGUGGAACUCCAUGUGUAGCGGUGAAAUGCGUAGAUAUAUGGAAGAACACCAGUGGCGAAGGCGGCUGUCUGGUCUGUAACUGACGCUGAGGCUCGAAAGUAUGGGUAGCAAACAGGAUUAGAUACCCUGGUAGUCCAUACCGUAAACGAUGAAUGCUAAGUGUUGGAGGGUUUCCGCCCUUCAGUGCUGCAGCUAACGCAUUAAGCAUUCCGCCUGGGGAGUACGGCCGCAAGGCUGAAACUCAAAGGAAUUGACGGGGGCCCGCACAAGCGGUGGAGCAUGUGGUUUAAUUCGAAGCUACGCGAAGAACCUUACCAGGUCUUGACAUACUAUGCAAAUCUAAGAGAUUAGACGUUCCCUUCGGGGACAUGGAUACAGGUGGUGCAUGGUUGUCGUCAGCUCGUGUCGUGAGAUGUUGGGUUAAGUCCCGCAACGAGCGCAACCCUUAUUAUCAGUUGCCAGCAUUAAGUUGGGCACUCUGGUGAGACUGCCGGUGACAAACCGGAGGAAGGUGGGGAUGACGUCAAAUCAUCAUGCCCCUUAUGACCUGGGCUACACACGUGCUACAAUGGAUGGUACAACGAGUUGCGAACUCGCGAGAGUAAGCUAAUCUCUUAAAGCCAUUCUCAGUUCGGAUUGUAGGCUGCAACUCGCCUACAUGAAGUCGGAAUCGCUAGUAAUCGCGGAUCAGCAUGCCGCGGUGAAUACGUUCCCGGGCCUUGUACACACCGCCCGUCACACCAUGAGAGUUUGUAACACCCAAAGUCGGUGGGGUAACCUUUUAGGAACCAGCCGCCUAAGGUGGGACAGAUGAUUAGGGUGAAGUCGUAACAAGGUAGCCGUAGGAGAACCUGCGGCUGGAUCACCUCCUUUCUAAGGAA